CACGUAGGCGCAAGCGUUGUCCGGAAUUAUUGGGCGUAAAGAGCUCGUAGGCGGUCUGUUGCGUCCGCUGUGAAAACUCGGGGCUUAACCCCGAGCCUGCAGUGGAUACGGGCAGACUAGAGGUAGGUAGGGGAGAAUGGAAUUCCCGGUGUAGCGGUGAAAUGCGCAGAUAUCGGGAGGAACACCGGUGGCGAAGGCGGUUCUCUGGGCCUUACCUGACGCUGAGGAGCGAAAGCGUGGGGAGCGAAACAGG
rnacentral:rRNA from 1 species